UCUGGUUGAUCCUGGCGGAGGUUACUGCUAUCGAGGUUCGACUAAGCCAUGCGAGUCGAAUGUAGCAAUACAUGGCGUACUGCUCAGUAACACGUGGAUAACCUACCCUUGAGACGGGGAUAAACCCGGGAAACUGGGUAUAAUACCCGAUAGAUCUCGACUGCUGGAAUGCAUCGAGCUUGAAAGCUCCGGCGCUCAAGGAUGGGUCUGCGGCCUAUCAGGUAGUAGCGGGUGUAGCGUACCUACUAGCCUACGACGGGUACGGGUUGUGAGAGCAAGAGCCCGGAGAUGGAUCCUGAGACACGAAUCCAGGCCCUACGGGGUGCAGCAGGCGCGAAAACUUUACAAUGCUGGCAACAGCGAUAAGGGGACCUCGAGUGCCAGGCUACAAAUCUGGCUGUCGUGAUGCCUAAAAAGCAUUGCAUAGCAAGGGCCGGGCAAGACCGGUGCCAGCCGCCGCGGUAACACCGGCGGCUCGAGUGGUAACCGUUAUUAUUGGGUCUAAAGGGUCUGUAGCCGGCCGGAUAAGUCUCUUGGGAAAUCUGGCAGCUUAACUGUCGGGCUUUCAGGAGAUACUGUCUGGCUCGAGGCCGGGAGAGGUGAGAGGUACUUCAGGGGUAGGGGUGAAAUCUUGUAAUCCUUGAAGGACCACCAGUGGCGAAGGCGUCUCACCAGAACGGACCUGACGGCAAGGGAC
rnacentral:rRNA from 1 species